rnacentral:lncRNA from 1 species
GGUCUGCGAGUCCAGGAUCACACAACACCGGAUUAUCUGUAAGCAAAAAACAUCGGAAUAUCGCAAGGGGAAACUCUUCUUUUUUUUAUGAUGUAUCGUCAGCAAGACAAGAUAAAUUAUGAAGAAGAAAACUUCAAUGAAAAUGUCCGAACAAGAGAAAUAACAAAGUUAACUGAAAUAACAGAAUUGAACGUGAUAACGAUAUAUACGAAGCACAUCUGGCACUCCGUGAACAGUACACCGUGUAUUUGCCACGAGUUCCGGCAUCAGAAUACGUAUCCGAUUCGCGCUCACGUCUGCCCAGCAGAGAACGGGAAAUCCACGAAAGUCUCUUUCGGAUAACGUUACUAAACGAUUAUGUGAUGCGUUCAAUUCUUCCAGAGAAGGAAGCCACGUCUAUAAACAGAAAUAUCAUGAUUAUAAAAUGUGGAAAAAUUUAAUUCUUUAACAUUUCAAUAUGUGUUCAAUAAUAAUGAAUAAAUCAAAUAUUGUGAUGAAACUAUACAAUUAUAAUUGAUAAAAAUACGUGUGUGAAUUAAUUUCAUGCAUAUUAUUGUACCUCUGAUGUAUCUUCAAGAGUGGUGAGCUCAUUAUGAGAAAGAUCGAGUACUUUUAGACCAUCAAGACCUCGUAGAUCGCGUUGACCAAUUGUUGGUCCUAAAGCAUUAUGACUUAGAUUCAACCUCUGCAAUUCCUUCAUUCCAAGAAACAAGGAACCAUCCAAGCUUCGUAGCUCGUUAUGCUGAAGUCGCAUAUCUUGAAUAUUUCCGCCUGCCGUUUCAUCUCCUUCCUCUUCCACUAAAUUCUGUAAAAACAAGUCAACCAGGAUAUAAAGUUAUAUAUAUAUUUUGAAUAAUUCUUUAUAUUUGAUUAAAAU